GAUGAAGAACGCAGCGAAAUGCGAUAAGUAAUGUGAAUUGCAGAAUUCAGUGAAUCAUCGAAUCUUUGAACGCACCUUGCGCCCUUUGGCCAUUCCGAAGGGCAUGCCUGUUUGAGUAUCAUGAACACCUCAACUCUUCAUGGUUUUCCAUGAUGAGCUUGGACUUUGGGGGUCUUGCUGGCCUGUGGGUCGGCUCCUCUCAAAUGAAUCAGCUUGCCGGUUUUUGGUCGGCAUCACAGGUGUGAUAACUAUCUACGCUUGUGGUUUUCCACCAGGGUAACCUUCAGCAGUGGAGGUUCACUGGAGCUUACAAAUGUCUCUCCUCUGUGAGGACAGCCCUUUGAAUGUUUGAUCUCAAAUCAGGUAGGACUACCCGCUGAACUUAAGCAUAUCAAUAAGCGGAGG
rnacentral:misc_RNA from 1 species